AGAGUUUGAUCCUGGCUCAGGAUGAACGCUGGCGGCGUGCCUAAUACAUGCAAGUCGAACGCUUCACAUAUGUGAAGAGUGGCGAACGGGUGAGUAAUACAUAAGUAACCUGGCCUUUACAGGGGGAUAACUAUUGGAAACGAUAGCUAAGACCGCAUAGGUGUGAUAACCGCAUGGAGAUGACAUGAAAUAUGCUACGGCAUAGGUAGAGGAUGGACUUAUGGCGCAUUAGCUAGUUGGAGGGGUAACGGCCCACCAAGGCGACGAUGCGUAGCCGACCUGAGAGGGUGACCGGCCACACUGGGACUGAGACACGGCCCAGACUCCUACGGGAGGCAGCAGUAGGGAAUUUUCGGCAAUGGGGGAAACCCUGACCGAGCAACGCCGCGUGAAGGAAGAAGUAAUUCGUUAUGUAAACUUCUGUCAUAGAGGAAGAACGGUGCGUGUAGGGAAUGACAUGCAAGUGACGGUACUCUAUAAGAAAGCCACGGCUAACUACGUGCCAGCAGCCGCGGUAAUACGUAGGUGGCGAGCGUUAUCCGGAAUUAUUGGGCGUAAAGAGGGAGCAGGCGGCACUAAGGGUCUGUGGUGAAAGAUCGAAGCUUAACUUCGGUAAGCCAUGGAAACCGUAGAGCUAGAGUGUGUGAGAGGAUCGUGGAAUUCCAUGUGUAGCGGUGAAAUGCGUAGAUAUAUGGAGGAACACCAGUGGCGAAGGCGACGAUCUGGCGCAUAACUGACGCUCAGUCCCGAAAGCGUGGGGAGCAAAUAGGAUUAGAUACCCUAGUAGUCCACGCCGUAAACG
rnacentral:rRNA from 1 species